rnacentral:rRNA from 1 species
CAGUCGCCGCGGUAAUACGAAGGGUGCAAGCGUUAAUCGGAAUUACUGGGCGUAAAGCGUGCGUAGGCGGUUUGUUAAGUCUGCUGUGAAAUCCCCGGGCUCAACCUGGGAAUGGCAGUGGAUACUGGCAAGCUAGAGUGUGUCAGAGGAUGGUGGAAUUCCCGGUGUAGCGGUGAAAUGCGUAGAGAUCGGGAGGAACAUCAGUGGCGAAGGCGGCCAUCUGGGACAACACUGACGCUCAGGUGCGAAAGCGUGGGGAGCAAACAGGAUUAGAUACCCCGGUAGUCCCUGUCUCUUAUAC